CUACUUGCACUGCUGUUACUGCUCUAUUAGCAGGCACACAGACACGACCUGACAAUGAAUGGCACAUAACCUGAAACACUCCCUCUACCUAUUGGUAGCUAAAUUAAUAGAGCAGUAGUUUACUGCUUAAAUCUCCUUUCUCUGCUUUGUGUCUUCAUGUAACUGUGUUGGAUCAUUGAGCUCACGAGCAUCUUUAUGAAUUGUUGAGGCAGAGCUUUUUAGCAUGCUGGCCCUAGAGAAUAUUAGGAUUUUAUGAUGUCUUUCCUUCUAACUCCCCUGCCUGAUUCUUAGCAGCCAAUGUAUAGUUCAUCCAGAGGUCAGCGUCACUUUCAGAUGAGUAAAUUGAGAUACUCAGGAAUUAAAUUACUUUUCCAAAGUCACCCAGCAAAUCAGUUAAAUAUCCUUGAAGGAAACACAGGUCCUCUUACUCCUAGUGUAGUACUCAUCACUGACUGACAUUGCUUUCCUUUUUCACAAUGCUUGAGACAAGCUACAUUAACUUGACAGAGCUGAACUGGAUUGAGACCAACUUCAAAGGAACCUGCCUAUGUAUUCCUUCAUGGAAAACCAUAUAAAAAACAGGUGCUGAAAUGUGUGUAACAAAAACUUUUUUCUGAAGAAAGUCUGUGGGUCUGAGCACCACAGGGGUCACUUGCCAUGUGCAGCUCUGAUGGCUAGGGGCACUGAGAGUACUUGGGGUCACAACUGAACAUCAUCUCUGACUAGCUGGAUCCAGGUUCUGAGACUGUGUCAAAGCUGUGGGACCUGAAGCCAAUUCCCCUGUCCCUGUGCAAACCUCCAGACAUGCCAUGGCUGAGGAAUACUGUCCCUUUGUCUUCCUCGCCUUCCACAAAACUUCUUGGUUUCAGCUGGAGGAGACAGGUCCUGCUGUGUGUAACCAUCCACCACUGCUGGGCUGGUUUAGAUGUUGUCUAACCCUCUGAGGCUCCCGGAAUUAAUGGAUGUGUCUCAAGGUCAGAGGAGGUGUGCUUCAGGCAUUUAAGACUCUGCCUUCUGGAGGUGGAGUCCAGAGAAUUCUUUUACUUCCUAUUGCAGCAGUAGGAUUUGAACUGACACAAAUAGAAAUCAGACAGAAGCAGACUCUUUAAACAAGAUCUGGGUUAUGAAUCAAACACUGCUCACAACUAAGAGAGGAAAUGUUCUGGGACACGGUGCUCUCAGCUCUCUAACCUUAGAGCAAGUUUGUGUGAUUCCAGCAGCACAAAUGGAAGGUCAAAAUCAUUUGUCCAAAACUGUACUGUCUUAGCCUCUUUGGUUUUUUUUUGACUUAAAUGAGGGGAAAGGAGCUCACUCCAAGCUAAUGCUGAGACAAGCCUGUUGAUUUAAGUACAUCUAAAUGUUAGAGGAGUAUGUAUGAGAAGACUGCACUCUUCAGGAAAAAGUUGACUCUUCAUCUCCUUUUUAUUUACUGUAUCUAAAUGCUACAGAGGAGCAGCAUGAGAGUAGAAACGUGCAAAAUUCUUGUUAUAAAAAGCAGCAUUUGUUAAGGGUGAACUGUCAGGGUCCUGCCCAUUCUGACAAACUCUGGCCAUGCAGAAUGUGCCCCCACAAAGCUAUGAAAUGGGAUUGAAGAUUGGCAGCUGCAGUGAGAGAAGGAAAGAGCUGCUCCAGCAGAUAAUUCUGUCAAGUUCAUGAACAAUAGUGCAAAGCACAAGGUGGGGAGAGGGGGGAAUUACAGAGGCAGCCUAUUGGUUCUGUUCUUGAUAAACCUAACUUUGGUUUGUUUCCAGUGAUAAUACUUUGUGGUGCUGAGGUCAUAAUCAUACUGAUGCUGAUCUUCCUAAAGAAUCAGAUCUGGACUGCCAUUGCAUUCUUGCAGGAAGGCAGUAGGGCUGCUGGCUAUAUAAUGUCUACGUUGUUCUACCCAAUCAUCACCUUCAUACACAUUGAAGUUUGUAUUUCCUACAGGGCUGUGACAGCUGUUUUUCUGGCUACAUCAGGAGAACCUGAGUAUAAAGCAAUGGCUAAUCAAACACCGCACGAGUAUGCAAACCUGACUUGUGACCCAGAGGUAGGUGUUACAAAUACUUCCCUGCUAUGAGAGCUAUACUAAUUGUAUUUCUUAAUCACUAUUAAAUGCAAUGUGAGAAAAUGUGCAUAUCUUAAGUAGUGAUUCCUUGUGUUAAACCUGAAAAUGGUGCUUCAUGUUCAGCUAAGACUCCUUUCUUCAAAGCAAU